GCGAGUUUUGUUGUGUCGUAUAAGUAGAGGAUGUUUACUGUUGCUUUACUUACUGGAGUUCAGGGGGGUUGGAAAAAGUGUGUAUCGUUCCAAACAACGCAGCGGACACUACUCCGAUCAGUUCGUGGACUGUUUUUUCUAUCAGCGCAAUGCAUGAUGCUACAGACGGAGCUAAGGAUUUUCAAUGACCAUUCACCUUCCUAACAAACACAGGCGAUUGGCUGCGGGAGUCUGUUACCGGCGCUGUGUGAAACACCCAGGCCAAGGACACUUCCUGACUCUGAAGUUUGCAAUCAACAGUGUAGCACAAAAUUAAAACAUCGCCGUGUAGCUAAACGUAUGCAGAAUCUACUUGGAAACGUCAGAAAAUCCCUCUACUCGACACAGUUUUACAGAGGAGAAACUUACCUCAUAAAAUGCCUGCACCAUUUCCACCAAUACCCAUUGCUGUCCGGACGCCAUGUUUAUUUUCCUAUUCUUCACUGUUGUUUUACGGGGGUUGGCAUCCAACUAAAAUAGUGCAUUACCGCCACCUACUGUACUGGAGUGUGGGCCGGAGUUAAAAAACAAAACAAUAACAAAAACAAAACUAAAUCAUAUCCUUUCUGCCAAUUCCAUGACCAAGAAGCUUAAUAAAAAUGUACUAAUGACAUUUUUAAAAGUUCCCAGUAAGUUCAAGCGAAUUUCCUCGAUCCCCUAACCUUCUUAUGGCCUCUAAUUUCAUCCUGUCCCUUUCAUAUUUCUGACACUCAAAAACCCAUAAUUACAUUUAUUUCAAUUUGAAAUUCAGGGGAGAAAAAGUAUAAACACCCCUAAAAGGAAAAUACUCAAUUGUAAGUACCUCAACAUUUGACUUAAGUAAAAUAGGGAGAGGUGAUUUGAGCCUGUGGGGAAGUUGAGCCAACCCUCGUUUUCUGGUGGCCAUAGACAAAAUUGAUCAUGUGACCACAUAUUUGUGAAGAGUCAUCCAUUUUACUCACUUUGUGAUGGAGAGAGGCCCAUGGAAUAAGCACAUUUAGAAUAAAAAAAGUGAUUUUUCUAUGUU